rnacentral:lncRNA from 1 species
UUAAUUGGGGAGAGUGGUUUAGCAAAAACUCUUAACUUCAGCAAGCUGUUAUACCUCUUGCUUGCCUUAAAAUAUUGUGGUAUGUGGAGAAGUCCAAUUGUAAUUUUGUGUUUCUCUAAUGUUCAUAUUUUAACUCGUAAGCGCAUCUUUUAUAGCACAAAGUUUACAAGCGUACAUUAAAGCUUCUAGUUAAUCAUGACAUGCUCAUAUUUUCUAAUGUCUCAUGAAACAUUGCCAGAUCAAUGAACUAUUUGUGCUUUUCACUUCUCGUUACUCUCUUUUCCAUAAUAUUCUCUUGCCUUCAAGCAAUUUCAUGUUAUUAAGCAUAUCAUAUAGCUGAUGCACUAGUUAGGAAGAACUGUUCCCUUGCAUAAUUGCAUAUUUCUCUUUUCUGAAGCCAUCCUUUUGUCAUUGAAUAGAUUCUCAACAGCUUACUGAAACUUGCAUUGUGAAAAACAUAUCAAUUUAUGUUGAAGUGAUCCUUAAGCUCUUCCUUUAUGUUCUACAUAUCUAUUAUUUUAUGCAUACUAAAAAGUGAAAGAUAGGAGCAUGAGCACCCAAACCCAUAUCAGAAAAGCCUUGGCUUAGCCAUAACGAGAUCAAUCACUCAGUCUUCGCUACAGAAGAUGCCUCUAAGCUGGAGCUUGAAACUAA